rnacentral:lncRNA from 1 species
GAUAAGGACCGAAGAUUUGAUCCCUACUCAGCAAUCACCUAAAACCUUUGGGAGAGAAAACAAAACAAAAGUCACUGAAAAACUUUAGCAAAACAUACAGAUCUAUCUAUUCAUGAGAAAAUUUAUUGCCUACCUUAAAGGCACGAAAGUAUUAAAAGAAGGUAGAAAUCAGCUAGAAAGCUACACGGAGGAUAAGGGUACAACCCACCUGAGAGGUGGUCGGUAAUGUUAAAGUGAAUGAAGGCAACUUGACAUGGGUGAAAAGGUUUGGAAAUGGUGGAGGAAGGAGCAACAGCCAUACUUGGGAUGUCACAUAGGCAAUAGUUGAAGCAUUGGUAGUGGAACAGAGUGGAAUGACCUGGGUAUGUCUUUCUCCAGCCAUGCAUUCUCAACAAGUUAUGUAACUCUGAACACAUGACUUUCCUUCUCCAUAGUGAUUAAUUAGUGCUAAUACUUCUGUUGUCAUUUGGGGGGGACAAUGAAAUGAGAUAAAUACAGGAAGAAAUCUUAGCCUACUGUCAGGCAUGUAAUAACUAUCUAAACCAUGUUUAUUGUUGUUGCUGUUUUUUAUUAUUACUAGGGAAAAUGUAAGCAAUGGAAGGAAUUCAUCUAUAUAUGGGGAAAUUAUAUUUUCCUUGUAAUCAUCAAAUAAUCAGAAUACUUGGUACUGUGUUAUUUAACUGAAUUUGAUCAGACGGCACCUGCUCCCUGCAAUACUGUGAAAGAAAGAAAGAUCAUGAAGGUUUAUUCCCGCCCUCAAGCCUCUUCCCUCCUCCCAGCUCUCUUCCCCAUGGCAACUAUUUCCACCUCUUCUGUGCCACAGUGAACUCAUAAUCUCUCUCAUAAUCUUUCCACUCCCCUCCUACCCAAAUUUGAAAUCUCAUCUCCCAGGCUGGAUGAGAGGAUGAUGAGUUACAAGGGAUGAAUCUGCAAUGAUGGCUUCUCAGAUAUUCGUGACAACAUGUAAGACCUGGGGACAGAGAUUCUCUUGGAUGUUUCUGGACCUAUUAAGUCAUAUCUAGUUAGCUACACACCUCAAACAUAGGGAGUGCUCAGCAGGAGAAUUUUUAGGUUCUUUUUCAAAUCAAAAUCUCAAGAGUAAGAACUUAAUUAACUUAAUUCUGCAAUGUCCUCCUGAAAGACACACGUAUUGGUGCACUGAUGAUAUAACUAAGCUACGAUGUCACAGGUCAUUAGCGCUGUCUUAUGCCAUUGUGUAGUUUGUGCAUUACAUGCAAAAGUCAGCUGUCCACCCAGCUGCAUCCAAUCCUUUCCCUUCUUUACCCUGCAGAUGAUAGUCGUGCUCCUACUGAAGUGGCCUGAGCCACAUUCCUGGCUCCAAAUUACCUACAGGAUAAAACCUAAACUUCUCAGCCUGGCAGAUAAAGCUCUGCAUAUCCAUCCUGGCCUUUUUCUCUGCUUUCUCCUUAUCUCUUGCUGUGAUAAACUUUCCCCAGGUCCCCACAAACACCUCGCUCUUUUAAGACAUUGCCCUUCAAUCCAAACACCUUCCCCAACCUUCUUCAACUCCACCAGGAUCAUUGCUGAAGGAAAAGCUCUCAUGUCUCAGACUUUAAGCUGUGCAGUUAUUUGUUCUGCAUUGUUUAUAUUCCCACAGUUAAACACUUAGUGGAUGUUUAAAAUAUUUCUUCAAUGAACGAAUGCAUUCGGAUUUCAAUGAUAGCAUUGAUGGCAAGGUAGGGUAAUUGUCCUACUCACUUGGUUACCUCAUCAGACUGUGAGCUUCUCCAAAGGGGGAGAGGAUGUGAGUGUAUCUGUUUCAUCUAUACCCUCAGAUCUGACUACAGUGGCUCUUUCGGUAAGUUUUAAGUCAAGGUUUGACAAAUAAUUAAAUUUCUUAUAUAUCUUUUGCAAAUGAUUUUUUUUUUGGUGUCAUCAUGCAUUAUUUCUUUCAUGAUUACAUUUCUUUCCUUUGUUGAUGUAGGGUUGGGGUAAAAGAAAGGGAAGAGAACAGUGUUCUUUUGCUGUCUUAUCUCUCCAAUAUAGCAAGAAUAUGGAAAUAUGGGGAGGGGAAACAGGGGAAGCCUCCUUGUAGGUUGGAGUCCCUGGAAUUAGAAGCUGAGAGUCUUCUGAAAGUGCUCACAAGUGAAACCUAGAAGGGGCUGAGGGCAAGGGCUGGGGCUGUAGCUCAUUGGUAGAGAGCCUGCCUCAUAUGUGUGAGGCCCUGGGUUCGAUCAUCAGCACCACAUAAAAAUAAAUAAAGAUCUUGUGUCAACUUCAACUAAAAAAAUAUUUUUUAAAAUGUUAAAAAAAAAGAAGAAGGGGCUAAGGGAAGCAAGACAGGACAGGGGACAAGCAAAACCAACACACAGAUUUAGUUGCAGAUAAGUCCCUGCCUGAUCCCAUGGGAAGCUAAGGAACAAGGAGAGCCUCCAGAAUUGUCCCACCUUGAGGGAAGAGGCCUGUGUGCUUUACGCCUCCAUAUUAGUAGUUGGCUAUAAGCCACGCCCACAAGUGAGGAGAUAACCUUGGGGAAUUUCAAGGGGAGCAGCUUCUGGAGGCUCAGGGAAGUCUUCAGUGGAGAUAGAGGUUAUUGCUCACCAACAUUCAUGGCAACUGAGCAAGGCAGGCGCCCUUCUGGUAAAGCCAUCUGAGCAACACAGCCAUAGCCCCACCACACAUCCAGAAGAUGUUAGAAAGUCUAGAAGAGUUAUCCAAGAUUUUAUUUCAAACCCACCUCCUCCAGCUUAGCCAAUCUAAUCGACAAGUUAUCUGGAUUAGUUCCUCACUCCUGAACAGAUUAGCAUCAGCAAGAUAGAAGAGGGGCAGAGACCCUGGAAGGUAAGUGCACCAACAGGAGCAGAACAAAGCCAGGAGCCAAGAGGCACAGCAGUCUGGAAGCCUGUGGGCAGAGCCCCGAGGACUGUGAGCUAAAGAUGAAGUCUACGAUGAUUUUACAACAAAAGGUUGGGUAAGCUGUAUUGGACAUUCUAAGUGUAGGAACACAGGGUGAUAUGCAAUGUAAUUUGUAAAUAUUUCAUUUGAAAUUUGGAAGCUUGAGGUGUGUGAACAAUGAUAUAGAUAUUUUAUUUUUACAAAAUAUCUCCUUCUGUGUCAACCUUAACAGGUAAGUGAGGUGUUGCUGGCUACUCCUCAAGGAAUCUCUUCUGCCCAGGAGCUCAUGGAACUUUCCAGAGGAUCACUUCAGACUUGUUUAAAAGUUCUGGCAGUUUUGGUUCCACCUAGCAUGUGGGAUUAAAUAACUGGGGCUGAGGGGAGCCUUCUAUAAUCGCCACACUUACGCUUCAGUGUGAUAUAGGGAAUGCUCUACCCUGGCAUGGGACAAAUGGAGUUCAAGUUCCUCCCUGUCAUUAACAUUUGUGUGGCCCUACACAAGUCAUUUCUCUUCUUUGAGUCUUGCUGUCUUCAUCUGUAAAGAGGAAAUGCUAAUAUUUAUUAUCCAUUAUUAAUAUUUACAUUGUACAUUACAUGAGUAUAUUUUAUAACGUAUUGAUACAGUUUGUAGAGAAACAAUAUUAUACUGUCUCACCAGUCUAUUGUGAGGAACAAGCAAGAUAAUAUUUGUGAAUUUGCCUUGUAAGAGACAAAAAGAAUUAAAAGUGGUAUAGUUGGAAGAGUCCGCUCUUCAUCUUCUUCUUUCCAAUGAACCUUUUGAUAGUUUUUCUAAAGCUAUGAGCUGGUGAGAGACCCACAGAUGCCAUUUACCAUAAAUUUAUUCUGUCCCUGUCCAUUGCCAUCUGCCUCCCGUG